rnacentral:rRNA from 1 species
UACGUAGGGAGCAAGCGUUGUCCGGAAUCAUUGGGCGUAAAGCGCGCGUAGGUGGCCUCAUAAGUCCGCUGUGAAAGUCAAAGGCUCAACCUUUGAAAGCCGGUGGAUACUGUGAGGCUAGAGUACGGAAGAGGCGAGUGGAAUUCCUGAUGUAGCGGUGGAAUGCGCAGAUAUCAGGAGGAACACCAAUAGCGAAGGCAGCUCGCUGGGACGUUACUGACACUGAGGCGCGAAAGCGUGGGGAGCGAACAGG